rnacentral:rRNA from 1 species
AGUCGAGCGCGGGAAGCGAGUGGAUCCCUUCGGGGUGAAGCUCGUGGAACGAGCGGCGGACGGGUGAGUAACACGUGGGCAACCUGCCUGUAAGAUCGGAAUAACCCCGGGAAACCGGGGCUAAUGCCGGGUAAUACUUUCUUUCGCAUGAAGGAAAGUUGAAAGAUGGCUUCUUGCUAUCACUUACAGAUGGGCCCGCGGCGCAUUAGCUAGUUGGUGAGGUAACGGCUCACCAAGGCGACGAUGCGUAGCCGACCUGAGAGGGUGAUCGGCCACACUGGGACUGAGACACGGCCCAGACUCCUACGGGAGGCAGCAGUAGGGAAUCUUCCGCAAUGGACGAAAGUCUGACGGAGCAACGCCGCGUGAACGAUGAAGGUCUUCGGAUCGUAAAGUUCUGUUGUUAGGGAAGAACAAGUACCGUGCGAAUAGAGCGGUACCUUGACGGUACCUAACGAGGAAGCCCCGGCUAACUACGUGCCAGCAGCCGCGGUAAUACGUAGGGGGCAAGCGUUGUCCGGAAUUAUUGGGCGUAAAGCGCGCGCAGGCGGUUCCUUAAGUCUGAUGUGAAAGCCCACGGCUCAACCGUGGAGGGUCAUUGGAAACUGGGGAACUUGAGGACAGAAGAGGAGAGUGGAAUUCCACGUGUAGCGGUGAAAUGCGUAGAUAUGUGGAGGAACACCAGUGGCGAAGGCGACUCUCUGGUCUGUUUCUGACGCUGAGGUGCGAAAGCGUGGGUAGCAAACAGGAUUAG